GUAUCCGUAGCUCAGCUGGAUAGAGCACUUGGCUACGGACCAAGGUGUCGCGGGUUCGAAUCCUGUCGGGUACACUA
rnacentral:tRNA from 2 species